UACGUAGGGGGCUAGCGUUGUCCGGAUUUAUUGGGCGUAAAGAGCGUGUAGGCGGCCUGACAGGUCUGCUGUGAAAACUCGAGGCUCAACCUCGAGAUGUCGGCGGAAACCGUCUGGCUAGAGUCCGGAAGAGGAGAGUGGAAUUCCUGGUGUAGCGGUGAAAUGCGCAGAUAUCAGGAGGAACACCGGUGGCGAAGGCGAGACUCUGGGCCGAUACUGACACUGAGGAGCGAAAGCGUGGGGAGCAAACAGG
rnacentral:rRNA from 1 species